GCCGGGGUAGCUCAGGGGCAGAGCAGCUGAUUCGUAAUCAGCAGGUCGUGAGUUCAAAUCUCAUCCCCGGCUCCA
rnacentral:tRNA from 1 species